AAGAUACUCCCUCCGUCCCAUAUUAAAUGACUUUCUAUUACAUGUAUCUAGACACUUUUUAGGCAUAGAUACAUCCAUAUUUGAGCAAAUUUGAGUCACUUAAUAUGGGACGUAGGGAGUAAUAU
rnacentral:pre_miRNA from 1 species